AGCGGCGGACGGGUGAGUAAUGCCUAGGAAUCUGCCUGGUAGUGGGGGACAACGUUUCGAAAGGAACGCUAAUACCGCAUACGUCCUACGGGAGAAAGCAGGGGACCUUCGGGCCUUGCGCUAUCAGAUGAGCCUAGGUCGGAUUAGCUAGUUGGUGAGGUAAUGGCUCACCAAGGCGACGAUCCGUAACUGGUCUGAGAGGAUGAUCAGUCACACUGGAACUGAGACACGGUCCAGACUCCUACGGGAGGCAGCAGUGGGGAAUAUUGGACAAUGGGCGAAAGCCUGAUCCAGCCAUGCCGCGUGUGUGAAGAAGGUCUUCGGAUUGUAAAGCACUUUAAGUUGGGAGGAAGGGCAGUAAAUUAAUACUUUGCUGUUUUGACGUUACCGACAGAAUAAGCACCGGCUAACUCUGUGCCAGCAGCCGCGGUAAUACAGAGGGUGCAAGCGUUAAUCGGAAUUACUGGGCGUAAAGCGCGCGUAGGUGGUUCGUUAAGUUGGAUGUGAAAUCCCCGGGCUCAACCUGGGAACUGCAUUCAAAACUGUCGAGCUAGAGUAUGGUAGAGGGUGGUGGAAUUUCCUGUGUAGCGGUGAAAUGCGUAGAUAUAGGAAGGAACACCAGUGGCGAAGGCGACCACCUGGACUGAUACUGACACUGAG
rnacentral:rRNA from 1 species